UUCAUUAAUUGUAAUUUGUCUGUGCUACCCGUGUGCUGAUGCUGGUCCUGUCUUGUUCCAUAUUAAAUGUUUGACUCCCUGUACCUGCUUCGCCACUCCAGCGUCAUCCUUGUGACAGAAUGAAAUCCUUGCCUGUUCUUUGAUGUCCUGCUCCUGGCUUCUGGAUGUUGCCUGGAUUAAGGCAUGGUACAUGCAAUUCUGGCCCUCUGACAUCACCCUGGUCUCACAUCCAUCUGGUUGAACAAUGGUAAAAUGGCCGCUGUACGCAGUUUGAACACCUUGGAUUCGGUCUUGUAUGUGAGAUAACAGACCCAUCUCACUAAAAUAACAAAUCAAACACAAUCAUCAUUGUUAAGUUCAAAGAUAAAAUUCAAA